GAUGAACGCUGGCGGCGUGCCUAAUACAUGCAAGUCGAGCGAACGGACGAGAAGCUUGCUUCUCUGAUGUUAGCGGCGGACGGGUGAGUAACACGUGGAUAACCUACCUAUAAGACUGGGAUAACUUCGGGAAACCGGAGCUAAUACCGGAUAAUAUUUUGAACCGCAUGGUUCAAAAGUGAAAGACGGUCUUGCUGUCACUUAUAGAUGGAUCCGCGCUGCAUUAGCUAGUUGGUAAGGUAACGGCUUACCAAGGCAACGAUGCAUAGCCGACCUGAGAGGGUGAUAGGCCACACUGGAAGGGAGACACGGUCCAGACUCCUACGGGAGGCAGCAGUAGGGAAUCUUCCGCAAUGGGCGAAAGCCUGACGGAGCAACGCCGCGUGAGUGAUGACAGUCUUCGGAUCGUAAAACUCUGUUAUUAGGGAAGAACAUAUGUGUAAGUAACUGUGCACAUCUUGACGGUACCUAAUAAGAAAGCCACGGCUAACUACGUG
rnacentral:rRNA from 1 species